UAGGGUUAGAUUGACAAUAGUUGUACUUGAUGGAGAGAGAACAGUGAUUUUUUAGUGGGUCCUUUGAAAACUAGCUCGAAUUAACACCUAUUACCUAGUGGAUAGAGAGAGAAAAGUGACUUUUUAGUAGGUCCCAUGAAAACUAGCUCCAAUUAACACCUCUUGGAUGGGCUAGUUUUUUUAGGUGGGUUAGAUGCAACUAGCUUCAAUCUAACCUUCAUGUUUGGAUACUUUAGAGCUAUUUAAGUCCCAACUAGCUCAAACUAACUCUAGCCUAUGGAUCCAAACAGGACUGAAGUUGAUGAGGAGGACCAUCAGCACAUGUUGGACGUGACGCUCGAGCUCCACAACGACAGCGUCCAGUCCGAUCUCGACAACUACGACGUCACCCACCCCGACAAUGACGAUGCCCCACACAAGGUAGCUCCCAUCGAAUAUCAUUUUUUUUUUAAGUUACCGCUGCUCUGUUUGUAGAUGCCUGUACAAUUCACCCUCUGCUUACACUGGACUAGUUGCUAGAUCUAGUCUAGUUACUAUUGUUUGUCAAACGUACAUAGUCUUGCUGUCCCCUCCACUUGGAUAACACAUCGUUUUAUACGUAAUUGUGCUUGUUACUAUCUCAAGCAUAAAAUGUGGGGAAAACAAAAGGCCCAUGAGACCGGACCGGCCUAAUGCUCUGCUGGAACUCCAGUACCAAGUAGAUAUUUCUGCUGCAGCACUCAACUUAAGUAAUUGUGCUUGAAAAAACUCAUGUGAUGCUACAUCAUGAUGCUUGUGUGGUUAUGAUCAUGUCCAUACUGGCUUACUGAUAUAAGCUGGACCUCUAUUUCUACUUGAACUAGCUGGAUCAGCUCUGCUUCUUCGUUUUCUAAUCUGCAUGCCAUGUAUGUGGUGUUCCCAGGAAAACCAAAGUAGUCUGGCAGUGGCUGCACAUCCUACUAUGGCUUGGUGGACUACCUCGACUUCUCCAACAUCGUAAUGACAGCCGAUAGGAUGCAACCGUGGGGCCUUCUUCGGUUCUGGUGAGUCCCUGGUCUCCCUGCUCUCUUCAUGUGCCCUGAGAUGGUCCGGUCAUUGAGCCGCCAAUUUACUGUCCAGUCUGUCAGUUUUAGCUUUCUCAGUCUAUCACUUUCCUUGCUAUCAAUUAGUGUGUGUUGCAUUAUGCACUACUCCCUCCGUUACUAAAUAUAAGUCUUUGUACCGAUUUCACUAGUGGACUACAUAUGAAUGUAUAUAGAUAUAUUUUAAAGUGUACAUUCAAUCAUUUUGGUCCGUAUGUAGACAUCUAGUGAAAUCGCUUAAAAGACUUAUAUUUAGGAAGGGAGGAAGUACUUAUUUUAGGAUGGACUCCUGGUCUGCUUAACGUAGUUUCUCCUAUUGCUGCAGGAUGCAAUCACGUUGUACCCUGGUCUUAUUUUAAGCCAGAAAGUGCAAUAUCUCUUGUAAUGGACCCUUUUUUUCUUUUCUUCAGUCCUUGAUGACGCUCUCUACCAUGUGGCCUACAACAUCAACCUUGAGUCAUGACGAACAUCUAAUUCUACAUGGAGAAGUCCAAUUACAAGGUACAUACAUAAACCAACCUUUGCUUGUUCUAACAAAUAUAUGUACUCUCAUCAGUCAGUUUGCAGGGGGGAGAACAACUGGGGUUUUUCAUUAUUAUUAUUUUGGAAAAGGAGGUUAAGACCUCCGACCUCUGCAUCAAUCGAUGCAUACAACCAUCUUUAUUACUUAUUCAACAAAGGUCUAACAAAAACAUAUAUCAAGCCACCCGAAGCCCCCACUCACACCUACAAAACGCGAUAAUCUGGAAUGCUCUCACUCCCCAUAUCUAAAAUCGGUGUCGUCGCCGAUCCAUCCACAUAACGUAUCGAAACUAACAACUGAUGCAGCAGACCUAAAGCAUACACCACACGCACACGUUUUAGAAGCCGCCAUCAUCAUCGAACCGUUGACCCAUCUUCAGAAGAGAAAUCCGCAUCAUCCAUGCCAGUCCGGCCAUCCGUCGACGCCACCACUACACCCAACGGUGCCACCUCCCUGCGCUCAUCCAUCCACACGCGAAGACUCUGUAAGAUCUGUCGUGCGUAGCACCUGCCGAACAGGCAUGACAAAGAGUAGCACCUGUCCGCCAGGCAUGACCUAACAUCAUCACCGAAGCUCCGUGCAGGACGAAGACGCUCCACCUCCUGCCUCUGUCUUCCAGCGCUUCUCCACAAACGAUGCUCCCUAGAGAGGAAUGACACCGCAAUGUCGUUAUCGUCUGAUCUGGAAACCAGAUCCUAGGGUUUCCCCUGGAGCAGCACGAGUGGAUCGACCUCCCUGCGCUCAUCCAUCCAGACGCAAAGACUCGUAAGAUCUGUCGUGCGUAGCACCUUCCGAACAGGCAUGACAAAGCGUAGCACCUGUCGGCCAGGCAUGACCUGACAUCACCAUCGAAGCUCCGUGCAGGACGAAGACGCUCCACCUCCUGCCUCUGUCUUCCAGCGCUGCUCCACAAACGAUGCUCCCUAGAGAGGAAUGACACCGCAAUGCCGCCAUCGUCCGAUCUGGAAAACCAGAUCCUAGGGUUUCUCUUGGAGCAGCACGAGUGGAUCAACAGUAGUUACAGGAGGAAGCCUUCAUCAAGGUAACGGCGCAGAACGUCACCAUCGUCCGAUGUCGGCUCGGUUUUCACCGGCAACUAUGUCUCCCCGACUCGCAGUGAGUAUCGAAUCCUGCGACGAGCCCAGUCACGGGAUUCCAAAAUCCGCCGUCACCGGUGCCGCCACAAAGACCCACCACUUGGCCCGUCAUCCCCGGCGGAGGGGACACUGCCACCAUCAUGGUCGGAUCCGGGUUAGCCGUCGUCGUCGCCACCGCCAAGACCGGAUCAGGGCUGAACGCCGCCGCUGCCACCGCCACCGGCCACACCCAGCUCCACCUUCAUAUUCUAGCCACGUCCAACCGACCGGCACGCCACGCCCAGCCAAUCUCCACCCGCGCCGCCACGCGUCGCUGUGCCUUGGAUCCGCAUGACGUCGUCGCCAAAGCCGCCGUCCCACGCCGCACGACAUCGAACGAGGAGAAGGGAAAUCCCGACCGCCGCCUACGCCGACCGGAUCGGCGGCGCCGGCCAGGCUUUGCCCAACCGCGUCCUUAGGCGGCGGCGAGGAAGGAGGGAGGGAGAGGAGGCUGCUGGAGGUGGCGGGCUGGGGAGCCCUCCCCGUCGUUUGAUUCUGUAUGGCUUAGAUUAUAUGUCCGAGAAGCUCAACAUCCACAAGAGUGGAUCUCUGCAUCCUUCUCCUCUACAAGCACCACAGACCACGAAGUUGUGUGCUGACAGUUCUUCUUCCACCCUUACGCGUUCCGCCCUGCCCCUUCGGUGCCUCAUUAUUCUCCCACUCUAGCAUAGGUGGUAAGCCAUUGGUUCCUCUCUCCUGUGUGUGUGUGUUUGAUGCUAUGUAUAUAUAAUUUGAUGUUGUUUGGAUUAAUGGUUCCACUGCUACUGAAUGAAUCGAGAGAAUUAUGGGCAUGUACCUAUUCAUUUUUAAAAACCUUUCAAUUAUGCAUGGAAACUAUCAAAUUGUGGGCAUGUACGUGUUUAUUUACCAAACCUUGCAAAUAUGAAUGGACUAACCAAUGGGAAGAUAGUUUUGUGGGACCAACCAUAUGAUUGCUUUAGAUAAUAGUAAUUCAGGUAAAGGUUCUUUUAUGUGCAAAAUAUAAAAUGGACAAUUCACCUUCUCUAGUAGUUUGGGGAUGUCAACACCUACAGUUUUCUUCAUAUGCCAACAAUUUUAUAUUGGAUACAUUCAUAUAUUGGGUAAAUGCAACUAAAUAUCAUCAUGAAAAUUUGAGGUGCUCACAAAAUUUUACUAGAUUAGUUUUUCAUGCCAGAUUCGGAUUCAACCAAGUGAGGAUUCCAACUUGGUCACAUAAUAAGAAAACGCCUUGCCGUCCUCUUCUACCAAAAGCACAUCACCUCUUUAGCUCUUGCCUGUUUCCCGGUAUAAGAACAUUCUUAAAACCAUUUCUUGGAGAAAAUACAUUUUAAUUUGAUUGUGGCAUUUAAAUUGUUUAGGUUGAAAUUUUCUCUUAGUUUAUGGUGGCAUUUCAAAUACUGAUUCUUGCCAAUAUUAUAUCAUCGCAGAUUACAUAACCAAAUUCUGCAUUAUCUCAGUACCUUUGUAUUCAUGAUUUGCACUUCUCUAUGUCUUGAUUCCUCCAUUUCAGGUGAUGCUUCAUGCCGGAUUGGAUACUUUCUUAGUAUUUCAUAAUGUUUGAGCUUUAACUUGCCGUUUGGAGGAGCCUUGUUCAAUGACUGGUUAGCAUGUUGUUGUGACCCUGGUUGAAUAUGUAUGCAUAUGUGGACUUCGAACUCAUGGCCCUUUCGUUAGUGAACUCUUGUUACAUAUGUAGACAUGUUAUUGUAAACCUUUGUUGGAUAUGUAUAGAUGUGUG
rnacentral:lncRNA from 1 species